UCGCACGAGAGUGGAGCAAUCCAUGAAAGUGGCGCACGGGUGCGUAACACGUAGAUAAUCUGCCCUUAGGAGGGGGAUAACGUUCCGAAAGGAGCGCUAAUACCGCAUACAGCAGUUUCCGGUUCGCCGGAGAUUGGCAAAGGCUGGGCUCAGCAAUGACCAGUCGCCUGAGGAGGAGUCUGCGGCCCAUCAGCUAGUUGGUAAGGUAACGGCUUACCAAGGCAAAGACGGGUAGCUGGUCUGAGAGGAUGAUCAGUCACACUGGUACUGGAACACGGACCAGACUCCCACGGGAGGCAGCAGUGGGGAAUCUUGGUCAAUGGGCGCAAGCCUGAACCAGCGAUGCCGCGUGAGUGAUGAAGGCCUUCGGGUUGUAAAGCUCUGUGGGGAGGGACGAAAUCCUCGGUUCUAACAGGACUGAAUUUGACGGUACCUCCUUAGCAAGCACCGGCUAACUCUAUGCCAGCAGCCGCGGUAAGACAGAGGGUGCAAACGUUG
rnacentral:rRNA from 1 species